rnacentral:rRNA from 1 species
AUUGAACGCUGGCGGAAUGCUUUACACAUGCAAGUCGAACGGCAGCACGGACUUCGGUCUGGUGGCGAGUGGCGAACGGGUGAGUAAUGUAUCGGAACGUGCCCAGUCGUGGGGGAUAACGUAGUGAAAAUUACGCUAAUACCGCAUACGAUCUAUGGAUGAAAGCGGGGGAUCGCAAGACCUCGCGCGAUUGGAGUGGCCGAUAUCAGAUUAGGUAGUUGGUGGGGUAAAGGCCCACCAAGCCAACGAUCUGUAGCUGGUCUGAGAGGACGACCAGCCACACUGGAACUGGGACACGGUCCAGACUCCUACGGGAGGCAGCAGUGGGGAAUUUUGGACAAUGGGCGAAAGCCUGAUCCAGCCAUUCCGCGUGCAGGAUGAAGGCCCUCGGGUUGUAAACUGCUUUUGUACAGAACGAAAAGGUUUCUACUAAUACUAGGAGCUCAUGACGGUACCGUAAGAAUAAGCACCGGCUAACUACGUGCCAGCCGCCGCCGUAA